AGUGAACGCUGGCGGUAGGCCUAACACAUGCAAGUCGAACGGCAGCACAGUAAGAGCUUGCUCUUACGGGUGGCGAGUGGCGGACGGGUGAGGAAUACAUCGGAAUCUACUUUUUCGUGGGGGAAAACGUAGGGAAACUUACGCUAAUACCGCAUACGACCUACGGGUGAAAGAAGGGGAUCUUCGGACCUUGCGCGAUUGAAUGAGCCGAUGUCGGAUUAGCUAGUUGGCGGGGUAAAGGCCCACCAAGGCGACGAUCCGUAGCUGGUCUGAGAGGAUGAUCAGCCACACUGGAACUGAGACACGGUCCAGACUCCUACGGGAGGCAGCAGUGGGGAAUAUUGGACAAUGGGCGCAAGCCUGAUCCAGCCAUACCGCGUGGGUGAAGAAGGCCUUCGGGUUGUAAAGCCCUUUUGUUGGGAAAGAAGAGCAGCAGGUUAAUACCCCGCUGUUCUGACGGUACCCAAAGAAUAAGCACCGGCUAACUUCGUG
rnacentral:rRNA from 1 species